GAUGAACGCUGGCGGCGUGCUUAACACAUGCAAGUCGAACGAGAAGUGAAGACGGAAACCUUCGGGCGGAAGGCUUUAUUUCGAGUGGCGGACGGGUGAGUAACGCGUGGGUAACCUGCCUCAUACAGGGGGAUAACAGUUGGAAACGACUGUUAAUACCGCAUAAGACCACAGCACCGCAUGGUGCGGGGGUAAAAACUCCGGUGGUAUGAGAUGGACCCGCGUUCGAUUAGCCAGUUGGCGGGGUAACGGCCCACCAAAGCGACGAUCGAUAGCCGAUCUGAGAGGAUGACCGGCCACAUUGGGACUGAGACACGGCCCAAACUCCUACGGGAGGCAGCAGUGGGGAAUAUUGCACAAUGGGGGAAACCCUGAUACAGCGACGCCGCGUGAGUGAAGAAGUAUUUCGGUAUGUAAAGCUCUAUCAGCAGGGAAGAAAAUGACGGUACCUGAGUAAGAAGCCCCGGCUAACUACGUG
rnacentral:rRNA from 1 species